CUGCGGAGCGGCCGCGCGGCUGUCUAAGAAACGGCGGCCUCUGCGGGCUGGGCUGGCGGCGGGAGCUGGGCCGGGGGCGGGGGCUGGGGACUCAGCCGGCGCCAGGGCCCGAACGGAGUGCGCCGGUCUCGUGGCGUGGAGAAGAAAUAGAGGUGAAUUAUAAAGUGAGAGCCAGUUUCCUCUCAACUCUGCAAUCUAGGAGAAAAACUUUCACCCAAGGACAGAUCAGGUGCUGUUUUUGAACGCUAAACUUUUGACCAAGAAUGAAACUAUUUAAAAAUUAAGAUGCCAACAGAUCACGAAGAGCCCUGUGGUCCCAUUCACAGGUCAUUUUGCCUGAAUGGAGGACUUUGUUAUGUGAUACCUACUAUUCCCAGCCCAUUUUGUAGAUGCAUUGAAAAUUAUACAGGAGCUCGUUGUGAAGAGGUUUUUCUCCCAAGCUCCAGCAUCCAAAAUAAAAGUGACCUGUUUGCAGCUUUCGUGGCAUUGGCUGUUCUUCUAGGAACUCUUAUCAUUGGAGCCCUCUACUUCCUUUGCAGGAAGGGCCACCUUCAGAGGGCCAAUUCGAUCCAGUAUGAUAUCAGCCUGGUAGAGACAAGCAGUACCAGUGUCCACCACAGUCAUGGAGAACAUUGAAGAAAUAUCACAGUGAACCCAAAUCAUUGCUUCUUUGUUACAAAGGCAGAAAAUGAAACACCAAAAGCAUCAACUGAUGGGAUCCAUGUGGGACCUUCAUUCUGCUGAUGUGGUGUAUUGUACUCAAUUGGAUUUUCAUCUGUUGAAACAUCCUUGCCUUGCAGCAAUAAACCCACUUGUUCAAAAUGUGUGAAACUUUUAGUGUGCUCUUGAAUUCAGUUUGCUAAUAACUUAAGAUUUUUACAUCAGUAUGCGUCAGGGAUAUUGGUCUUUAACUUUCUUUUCUUGUGUUGUCAUCGUCUGGCUUUGGUAUCACGGUAAUGCUGGCCUUAUACAAUGGAUUAGAAAAUGUUCCCACCUAUUAAAUUUUUGGAAAGUUUGAGAACUGGCGUUAUUUCUUCUUUAAAGGUUUGGUAGACUUGAGUAAAGCCAGAGGUUGCCUUUUUUCCCCUUUCUUGGGAGGUUUUUGACUGCUGAUUCAAUCUCUUUUCUAGCUAUAGGUCUAUGUAGAUUUUUUUUUUAUAAUUUUAUUUAUUUAUUAUUUUUGGGGGGGUACACCAAGUUCAAUCAUCUUUUCUUUUUUUCAUUUUUUUUUUAUUAUUUUUUUGGGGGUACACCAGGUUCAAUCAUCUGUUUUUAUACACAUAUCCCCGUAUUCCCUCCCUCCCUUGAAUCAUGAAUCAGCCUUGGUAUGGCUUUGUGUUUUUAGGCAUACAUCCAUUUCAUCUAGGUUAUCCAACUUGCUGCUGUUCACAGUACUCUUAUGAUACUUUUUAUUUCUGUAGACUUGUUAGUAAUAUCUCUACUGUUAUUUCUGUUUUUAGAAGUUGAGUCUUCUCUUGUUAUUGAUCUAGCUAAACGUUUGUCCACUUUGUUAACCUUUUCGAAGAACUAGCUUUUAGUUCAAACUUUUCUAUUGAUUUUCUAUUCAGUAUUUUGCCUAUCUUAUUCUCAUCUUCCUUCUACUAGCUUUGGGUCUAGUCCAUUCUUUAUUUAGUUCUUUAAGUUAUACAGUUAGAAAGUUGAUUUCAGGUUGUUUUUUUUUUUUUUUUUUAAAGUAAGCAUUUACAGCUAGAAUUUUCUCUGUUAUGGGAUGCAGUGAAAGCAGUGCUGAGGUUUGGUAUGUUGUGUUUUGCUUAAUGUACUUUGAGGAUGUUAUUAGAUGUGUGUUUAUCAUUGUUACAUCUUUGUUGCAUAAAACCUUUUAACAUAUACUGUUCUUUUCUUUAAAUCCCAAAAGGUUAUAAGUCUAUUUGUCUGACGAUACUAUACUGUUCUCUUUUGGUUACUAUCUGCAUGGAAUAUUUUUCUUCCUUAUCUUUGGUGUUAGUCUUUUCAUGUUGUUUUUUUGUAGUGAAAUAUUUAAAUUCUCUUCUUUCCUUCUGUGUGUAUUCUAUAGCUAUUUCUUUGUGGUUACCAUGGGGAUUCCAUUUAACAUCAUAAAGUAAUAACACUAAUUUGAAUUUAUAGCAGCUUAACUUCAACAGUGCAUAAAAACUUUGCUCUUACAUAACUUCAUCCACACUCCCUUUCAACUAUUAAUGCUACAAGAUUGCAUUUUUAAGCACUGUCUAAAAACAUAAACCAAUAAAUAUAUUUUAUCAUUAGUUCCUAAACUGUGUGGAACACAAAGUUAUAAAUCAAAGUUAUAAUACUAGCUUCUGUAAUUGUUCAUGUAGACCUUUACUGGAGAGCUUUACUUCUUCAUAUGGUUUCCCAUUCCUAUCCUUUGUCCUUUCAUUUCAACUUGAAGAAUGCCCUUUAGCAUUUCUUGCAGGGCAGGUCUAGUUGUAUCAGUCUCCUUCAGCUUUUAUUUGGUAGUGUUCUAAUUUCUCCCUCAUUUCUUUUUUUAAAUUUUUGGCUGCAUUGGGUUUUCGUUGCUUCACACAGGCUCUCUCUAGUUGUGGCGAGCAGGGGCUACUCUUCAUUGUGGUGCACUGGCUUUUCAUUGCAGUGGCUUCUCUUGUUGUGGAGCACAGGCUCUAGGCACAUGGGCUUCAGUAGUUGCAGCACACAGGCUCAGUAGUUGUGGCACAUGGGCUUAGUUGCUCCAUGGCAUAUGGGAUCCUGCCAGACCAGGGAUCAAACCUGUGUCCCCUGCAUUGGCAGGUGGAUUCUUAACCACUUCGCCACCAGGGAAGUCCCUCUCCCUCAUUUUUGAAAGACAGUUUUGCCACAUAGAUUUCAGGUUGACAUUUUUUUCAAGAAAUCUGAUCAUCUUAUUGAAGAUCCCUUUUAUGUUAUGUUUCUUAAUUCUUGCUGCUUUCAAGACUCUUUCUCUUCAUAUAGCCUAAUUAUGCAGAUCUUCCUUGACUUACAAUGGGGUUGUAUCUCAGUAAACCCACGGCUAAGUUGAAAAUAUCAUGUCGAAAAUGCAUUUUAUAUUCCUAACCUGCAACACCAUAGCUCAGCCCGUCCGACCUUAAAUGUGCUCUGAACAAUUGCAUUAGCCUAUAGUUGGGCAAAAUCAUGUAAUACAAAGCCUGUUUUGAAGUGAUGUAAUUUAUUGAAUACUGUACUGAAAAACGGAACGGUUGUAAUUAGAUGUUUACUCUCAUGAUCAUGUGGCUGACUGGGAGCUGCAGCUACCACAGCCAAGCAUCAUAAAUGCAUAUCUUACUGCAUGCUGCUAGCCUGGGAAAAGAUCAAAAUUCAGAACUUGAAGUAUGGUUUCUGCUGAACACAUAUCACUUUUGCACCAUCGUAAAGCUGAAAAAUCCUAAGUCAAAUUGUCCUAGGUCAAGGACUGUCUAUACUGUAUCUUGGUGUCUCUUUUGACUUUGCCCUGUUUGGAGUUCAUUGAGCCUCUUGAUAUGUACAUCCACACCUUGCAUCAAAUUUGGUAAGCUUUUUGCCAUUAUUUCUUCACAUAAUCUUUAUAUAGCUUUCUCUUUUUCUUGUGGGACUUCUGUAAUGUUUCUUUUUCCAUUUGGUGGUGUCUUACAAAGCCCUUAUAUUAUUUACUUUGUUUUCUUAGACACAGUAUCUUCAACUGUCUUGAACUGUCUUCAGCUUUGCUGAUGAGUUAUUUUGCUUGCUCCAAUCUGUUCAACCCCUCUAGUGAAAAUUUUUUUUGUAAUUUUCUGCUCCAGAAUUUGGUUCCUUUUUAUAAUACCUCUCCAUUGGAAUUCUCAUUUUAGUCAACACUUUGAUUUCCUUUAGUUCCUUGAGCAUAUUUAAAGGUCUUUUCUAGUAAGUUCAAUGUGUGGGCUUCCUCCAGGCCAGUCUCUGUUCCACUGAAUAGGCCUCGUUUCCCUGUUUCUUUGUAUGAAUGCCUUGCAGAUUCUUUGUUGUUGAAAAUUUGGGCAUUUCACUAUUACAAUAUUGUAAUUAUGAAUAUAACAUUCUCAUCUAUUCUGUUUACCAGUUGUUGCUGACUGCUGAAGGCUGUUGUUCAUUUGUUUUUGAGACUUUUCCAAGCUAUUUUUACAAAGACUAUUCCUUGUGUGAUCAUUGAAGCCUCUGUUCUUAUUAUCUCUUGUUCAGCUGUUUUUAGAGAUUUCCUUCAAUGCCACUUCUUUUUGCAUUUUAGCUGUGUGCUAAGGCACUCCUGCAGUACUUAGCUAGGCUUGCUUCUCUCCUAGGAAUCAGAGCAAGAUGAAAGCCUAAUGCUCUCUUAAGUCUUUUCUGAGCAUGUUUUGCCUGUGCCUGCAUUUGGCAUUCUGCAUCUUCCCCUGGGUACAACUGCUUUUGAAUGUCCUAUUUCUCAAAAAUGUCACCCCAACUUCUCCUCUGGGCCUUACACAGCCUGUUUUAUGUCUUCACCCAUAUCCAGGUGCCUGUGAUUCUGUAGUCAUCCUGCAGCUUUCACAAGCAGUGGCCCAUCUUUUCUUGCCUGAUUUCCAAGUUAUGCAAAACAAUGAUGAGGACCUUGAGUCAGUCCUUCUAAUCCCCCAGACAGAUUAGAAAAGACAAAAAUGAUUUGAAAAGUCUAUUCUUCCUCUUCUGGCUUGAGGGAGGGAACUGGAUACUAGGCUUGUCAUUUUAAGAAUAAGACCACCACUGCAUGGGUGAGUAAAAAGGUCACAAAGCCUUCCUUUUCGUGGAUGGGUUUUCCUCACUGGGCACUGUGUUAGUUGCUAUAAUCCUUCGACUGUUUUCCAAAGCUUCAACAAAUUUGGUUCAUACAGUUGCUACUUUCUUCCUUUCCUCCCCAAUGUCUCUGUGGAGGAACAAAAGUUUGGAGCAUCGUAGUUCACAAUUUUGCUAGUGUCACUCAGGUCAACUGUUUAUUCCUAUCUAUAAUUCUAGUAUUCCAACUAGGCCUUCAGCAGUUUGUUUUAGAUACAUGUAUGGUGACUGAAUUUUGGUUAGACUUGGAAGUAUUGUGUAAAUGUUAAGAAAACGGUCUCAAUUAUCUUCAUUCAUUUACAUUUAAAAUUAAUGAAUAUAUAUAUUUUCCAAUUUCUUGUAAUUAUCAAUCUUGUUUUUACUGGCUGUGAUGUCACUAGAGAACAGUAACUUUUAUGAGAACUUCAUGAAAUGCUCUCUACACUUUUAGUACCAGAACAAAACAUUAAAUGACAUUUACUGGCUUCUGCCAAUGUUUCCUACUUUAUAGUAGCAUAUAUUCUAAUUGGUCUCCAUCAUGGCAUAGGGCAGAAAUGAAAUAAAACAAAAAUAACAUGUCUUGUAAAUAUUUGACUAUUUUUCUCUACAUGGGCCAAUAUUAAAAUAACUUUCUGGUAACAUUCUUUACAUAGUAUAGGUAUUAGUUUUAUUUAACAAGGAUAUUAUUACUAAUACUAUGUUUUGUUAUUUUAGGAUUUUCAUUAAGCAGACUCAUACCCUUUCUACAAAUGAAAACCAAGUCAGUCAUCUAAAAUCUCAAUUUCAAAUCAAGAGGAUUUAGAGUCUUCUGUUUUCAUUAAAAUGGAAUUUAUGGUGGUGUUUAAAUGGGUUAGAUUGUGUGGGCACAAAAUGAUAAAAGUAGGUUUAUUUUUUUCUCAAAAAUUUCUGCAGAAUGCAUAGGAAAUUCUCAGACUUGUAAAAGUUUAUUUUACAUUCUUUGCAUGUUCAUUGUGUUCAAUUUGCAAUAUAAAUUCGUGGCAAAACUUGUGCUGUUUGGCUUCUCUUACUAGGUUAAAAAGUUAUUUACCAAUGAUCCAGGUUUAAGCAAAGCUGAGAAAUAUAGCAGUGAACUGGCCUUCUGGACUCCUUUCAUUAGUCUAGAUCACGGACUGUUAUAACAAUGUGUAGGGUGUCUAUUUUGAGGUCUUAAUCCCAAGCUUCCCUACUCUUCCUUAUACUGCUACUUGGCUUUUCAAGUUUAUUCUUUGAAGUAGCCUUUAACAGGGCAAACUAGCUGCAGAAAGAGUCUGCUUUUGAAAGCACAUAAAGGAAAUCAACAUUUUUUAAACAUCUUGAUUAAACUAUCCUAUCAAUCUUGUCACUUGAUAGAAGGCAGCUCAGUAUCGUGAAGAAAACACUAAGGGUACAUCUUUACUUCUUUUUGUGCUCAUGUCAAUUUUUUCACAUGAUCAUUUUUCCAAUUUCACAAGUGACUACAACAGUUGCCAUUUCUAUGAAUUGAGUAUGUUUUUAGCUGAAACAGUAACUUUUCCUUUAAUGGUUACUUUUAAGACAAGCCUUUCAAAAUUGCAAGAAAUUGUUUUAACUUUGGUGGUUACAUUAUCAUUCCUGUUCCAUGGAAUGUCAAAGCCUCUGAGAGGCAGGGCUGAUAACUUUUGUUUUCAAUCAGUACUACUCUUUCUGUUGGUUCAACUUCUUCCCUUUCUAUUCUGCACCAGGGUUACAACCUUGUAGCCAAAUGAAUUUAUUGUUCAUAACAAGCUCCAAAGUCUCAGCUAUAAAAGGAGCUAUAUAUUAACCUCAAAUAUUGUAUAAAAUGACCUUGCAGCAGACUCUCCUUUGAGAAAUAACAAAACAUUUUAUAUGAGUAUUAAUUUGAAAAACUAAAAUAAUUCAUUCAAUCAGGCACAUUUUGUUCAUGUUUCCGGUUUUCGAAAUCCUUUUCCUCUACUAGUCAGUCAACUGUGGUUAAUAUCAAGGACAAAGAAAUUUUACAAAGUAUUUUCCUUAUAUGCUAUUUAAGCAUAACCAAGGACUCAAAUUUUGAGGUAUUGUCUACUUGAUAAUGGGUACCAAUGUCAAAUAAUAGAGGAGUUAAUAGCUAAAUAAAAACAGCUAAAUAUUAAUAUUCACAGAUUAAAAGUUCUAUGGCAAUCAUACUUUCCUUUGGACUUUCUUUAGAAACUAAGAUUGAGGCUAUCCAUAAAUUAAAGAAACUUUUAAGUAUUUUUUAUCAUUCAUAUAAACAGCAUGAAAAAAAUCUUUUGAGGUAAAAAUUGGUUUAAAAAAGUGAUUAAAAACAGGAAAGCAGGAAUGUUAAUAUAUUUGAUUUCACUUACCUUGCAAGUUUUCUUCUAUCCCGUUAGAACCACUGACUAUCACAAAAGUGCCAUACAUUAUAUCAUACUGUAUUACAAUAUGCUAAUACAGAUAUCCUGUAAUAAAGACCUGGAAAAAAACAAGUGACUUAGGCAAGACUGAUGCUAUUUCUGCCAUGUAAGACAGUCUGGAAACACACAGUCCAAAUCAGUUGUGGUAGCACUUCAACAAAACUAUAUGGCAACCUAGGAUGGUUCUGUGUGGUUCUCUUCCACAAGAGAGCAUUGCCUCUUCCGUAGAGUCUCAGAGGGCUAGCUAUCAUAUCCACUUUUAAGCAAAAGCAUCAAAAAAAGGCAAAAAACCCACAAAAAACAGGCACACUGUUUUAAAGGACACAUUAUCAUUUCCCCUCACAUUUCACUGGCCAGAGCAGUCAUACUUGCAAGGGGGACUAGCAUGUAGUCUUUAUUCUGAUGUGCAUGUGCCUAGCUGAAAAUCAAAGGUUUUAUAACUAUGCAAAAAGGAAAGAAUGGAUAUUGGUGGGAAAUUGGUAUUCUCUGUACAUAUCUCAUUUUGAUAUUUACAUAAUUAGAAAUUUAAACCUGGAAAUCAUUUUACUAGAACUAUACCAAGAUUUGCUAGCUGACAAAUACUAUUCUGGGUUUUCUUUUCCAAAGGAUUAGUUUCUUUCAUUCAUUCACUAAAAGCAAUGAAGUACACAACUAUCUGAGUUUCCAAGGUAUGUUUUAUUGGUAUAAAACCAAAAUAAAGUGAUGUAAUUGUGUGAUCUGCCAAUUAGUUAUAUAGAAGUAGGUGAAAAAAAGAAUUUUGUUGCAAUUUCUUUAUUGAGGGAAAAGGAAAUUUUUUUUCCUUACAAAGUAAUAAAAUACUGAUUAGUCUUGGCAAUUUAUCUGUAUAAGCAAUUUUAGAGUACUAAAACAAAAAAAGUUCCUUAAUA